GAUGAACGCUGGCGGCGUGCUUAACACAUGCAAGUCGAACGGGAAACCUUUUAUUGAAGCUUCGGCAGAUUUAGCUGGUUUCUAGUGGCGGCCGGGUGAGUAACGCGUGGGUAACCUGCCUUAUACAGGGGGAUAACAACCAGAAAUGGUUGCUAAUACCGCAUAAGCGCACAGGACCGCAUGGUCCGGUGUGAAAAACUCCGGUGGUAUAAGAUGGACCCGCGUUGGAUUAGCUAGUUGGCAGGGUAACGGCCUACCAAGGCGACGAUCCAUAGCCGGCAUGAGAGGGUGAGCGGCCACAUUGGGACUGAGACACGGCCCAGACUCCUACGGGAGGCAGCAGUGGGGAAUAGUGCAAAAUGGCGGGAGCCCUGAUGCAGCGACGCCGGGUGAAGUAAGAAGUAUGGGGGUAUGUAAUCUGCUAUCAGCAGGGAAGAUAGUGACGGUACCUGACUAAGAAGCCCCGGCUAACUACGUG
rnacentral:rRNA from 1 species